rnacentral:lncRNA from 1 species
AUUACUACUAAAUCACAUUAUUUCUGCCAAUUCAAGGAGGCUGACUGUUACUAAGUGCAUCAGUGUACAUAGGUCAUCUGUUGUGUUGGAGUGCCCUCUUGUGGCGCCUUUUGGGUAGUGCCUUAGUAAACGUGAACACUGCAAAGAAGUGGUAUCAGACUGGUUUGUAGUGGAGGAAUUUGUUGCCAGUUUCUUUCAUCUUUAAUCCGUAUUCAUGUUGUAAUGUAGUAGUACCACAAUAUGGCAGAAACACUAUGUUUUGGCACAAAUACUUUGAUUUGGUAUACUUUAGCUUCUUCACCCCUUUUCAGCACAAAUUCCAUUUAUUUGGGCUGUUUUCAGAAAAAAAACGUCUUUUCAGCAGAAACUCUGCUGAUUCAUCUCUUUUCAGCGCAAGUUUCUGCUCCUUUGCCUCUUUUCUGCAGAAAUUCUGCUGAUUCACCUCUUUUCUGCAAAAUUUUCAGCCCUUUCACCUCUUAUCAGCACAAUUCUCAGCAGCUUCUGCUAAUUUCAGCAGAAUUGUCAGUCUGUCCACCUCUUCUCUGUGAGAAUGUGUUUGGGUCAGUGAGAUGAGUAGCUGCUUUGAGCCUGGUAGUAUAUCUGUUAUGUUAUAGUAUUACUACUAAAUCACAGUAUUUCUGCCAAUUCAAGGAGGCUGACUGUUACUAAGUGCAUCAGUGUACAUAGGUCAUCUCUUGUGUUGGAGUGCCCUCUUGUGGCGCCUUUUGGGUAGUGCCUUAGUAAACGUGAACACUGCAAAGAAGUGGUAUCAGACUGGUUUGUAGUGGAGGAAUUUGUUGCCAGUUUCUUUCAUCUUUAAUCCGUAUUCAUGUUGUAAUGUAGUAGUACCACAAUAUGGCAGAAACACUAUGUUUUGGCACAAAUACUUUGAUUUAGUAUACUUUAGCUUCUUCACCCCUUUUCAGCAAAAUUUUCAUUUUUUUCACCCCUUUUCAGCACAAAUUCCAGCUUUUUUGGCUGUAUUCAGAAAAAAGACAACUCUUUUGAGCAGAAACUCUGCUGAUUCAUCUCUUUUCAGCGCAAGUUUCUGCUUCUUUGCCUCUUUUCUGCAGAAAUUCUGCUGAUUCACCUCUUUUCUGCAAAAUUUUCAGCCUUUUCACCUCUUAUCAGCACAAUUGUCAGCAACUUCUGCUCAUUUCAGCAGAAUUGUCCGUCUCUCCACCUCUUCUUUGUAAGAAUGACUUUGGCUCAGGGAAAUGAAUAGCCGCCUUUGAGCAGAAAUUCUGCUGAUUCAUCUCUUUUCAGCGCAACUUAUUGCUUCUUUACCUCUUUUCUGCAGAAAUUCUGCUGAUUCACCUCUUUUUUGCAAAAUUUUCAGCCUUUCCACUUCUUCUCAGCACAAUUCUCAGCAGCUUCUGCUCAUUUAGCAAAAUUGUCAGUUUCUCCAUCUCUUGUUUUUGAGAGAAAGACUUUGGUUCAGUGAGAUGAGCAGCUGCCUUGAGACCAGAAGGGCCAGGUUCAAAUCCCGGUCAUGGCAAAACCUGUUUUCAGUUUUCUCUUUUGUUCUUUUGUUCUGCCUCUUUUCUGCAGAAAUUCUGCUGAUUUACCUCUUUUCUGCAAAAUUUUCAGCCUUUUCACCUCUUCUCAGCACAAUUCUCAGCAGCUUCUACUCAUUUUAGCAGAAUUGUCGGUCUCUCCUCCUCUUUUUUUCUGGGAGAAUGAGUUUAGGUCAGUGAGAUAAGGAGCCGCCUUGAGCCCAAGAGGUCCAGGUUCGAAUCCUGCUCAGGGUGACGUUCUUUUUUCACCACCAUACAACUUUUUGCAACUUUUCAUCGUUUUCAGCUUUUCAGCAGACAGCUUCAGCGUUAAGGCAUCCACACAGCAUUUUCGCAGGAAAUGCAAAUUUUUCUAGUUAUUAUUAUUCUAGUUGCAACUUUUUGUACUUUUUUGGCACUUAUCUACUUCCACAAUUUUCAACCGAUUUUUACCGUUCAAAUUUUAAACUAUUCUGCUAUUUCUGCUAAUGUGCGCUAUGACUUUUGGUAUUUUUUGGUAUUAUACUUUUUAAAAUAUUACGUUUUUUUCCUUUAAUUUGUCCCAUUGAAAUGAAUGGGAAACUUCCACAAUUCUGCUAAAUCUUGCUUGUUUUUGAAACUUAUCUACUUUGUCAUACUUUCACCUAGAACAACCAUUCAAAUUUUAAAAUGUUCACAAAUUAUUGGGCUAUUCAUGAAUGAUUCAGCUUUUUCAUAUCUGUUACCGUUUUCAUCUUAUCCCUCUUUAAGUUUUGAGUUUCAUUUUUUUGAUUUUUCACAAAAUACAUGCGUUGUUAUGGUUGCUAUGCACUUGGCUUCCAGUGUGCCACUGUAAGUUUCGCAGUCUUCUCUUCAUGUCCGAACAACUUCUUGCUACUUGCUGAAUUUUCACUUAACUUCCACAAAUUAUACAUCAAAACGUAGGUAUUUUUGCUGGCUUUCAGAAAAUGUCACUAUCAUUGUUGUGGGAUUUAUAGAAUUUUGGCAAAUCUCCUCAGACCAACACAAAGUCUGAAAACUCUCCAUAGAAAGUCAAUGGAGAGUUUGUUCAAAAUCACCGCUGGAUUUCUCUAAUGAGAGGCAUUUUCGAAUCGUCAUAUCUUCUUAACGAAGCGAAGUUAAGACAUGAGGCUUGUGCCAAUAUAUCUUCAGACACUCCUGACGCUCACAAUUCAAGAAUUUUUUUCUCAUCUAUUACCAUUUGGCCAUGAAUUGGGUUUGUUUGAGGGUAGGAAAUUUGUCCCUCGCUCAGAUUUCUUCAGAUUUCAAACUCUGGAAAUGAGGCACUUUUUUCUCUCGUCAUAUCUUUUUGAUGGAUUUCCACAGAGACCUGAAAAUUUCCAUGAUUGUUCACCAAGGCCUGCUGUCUCUUACGGUGAAAGAAUUAUAUCAAUACUCCAAAUAGAUUUAGAGUUAGAAAGCGUUGUUUGAGGGCAAGCCAAGGCAGUUUUCGCUUACCUAUACUCAGUUAUGGUGCAUUAGAAGUCAAAUAUCUUCAAUAAUUCAUAUUUUAAUGAUAAAGUGUCAACACUUUAAGAUUCCCCCAUCUCUUCUGAACAAAACAGUGUAAGAAUGACCGUUCUA